CCUUUACUGACGCUAAAGCUCGAAGGUGCGGGUAUCGAACAGGAUUAGAUACCCUGGUAGUCCGCACGGUAAACGAUGGAUGCCCGCUGUUUGCGAUAUACUGUGAGCGGCCAAGAGAAAUCGUUAAGCAUCCCACCUGGGGAGUACGCCGGCAACGGUGAAACUCAAAGGAAUUGACGGGGGCCCGCACAAGCGGAGGAACAUGUGGUUUAAUUCGAUGAUACGCGAGGAACCUUACCCGGGCUUGAACUGCAGGAGAACGAUACAGAGAUGUUGAGGUCCUUCGGGACUCCUGUGGAGGUGCUGCAUGGUUGUCGUCAGCUCGUGCCGUGAGGUGUCGGCUUAAGUGCCAUAACGAGCGCAACCCUUUUCGUCAGUUGCCAUCAGGUGAAGCUGGGCACUCUGGCGAUACUGCCACCGUAAGGUGUGAGGAAGGUGGGGAUGACGUCAAAUCAGCACGGCCCUUACGUCCGGGGCUACACACGUGUUACAAUGGGGAGUACAGAGAGUCAACCGCCGGCAACGUCGGUUUAAUCAAGAAAGCUCUCCUCAGUUCGGAUUGGGGUCUGCAACCCGACCCCAUGAAGCUGGAUUCGCUAG
rnacentral:rRNA from 1 species